UACGUAGGGACCGAGCGUUGUCCGGAAUCAUUGGGCGUAAAGAGCGUGUAGGCGGCUAUUUAAGUCCUGCGUGAAAUCCUGCGGCUCAACCGCAGACGGUCGUGGGAAACUGGAUGGCUAGAGUGCGGGAGAGGAGAGUGGAAUUCCCGGUGUAGCGGUGAAAUGCGCAGAUAUCGGGAAGAACACCCGUGGCGAAGGCGGUUCUCUGGGACGGUACUGACGCUGAGACGCGAAAGCGUGGGGAGCGAACAGG
rnacentral:rRNA from 1 species